UGGGGAAUAUUGGACAAUGGGCGAAAGCCUGAUCCAGCCAUGCCGCGUGUGUGAAGAAGGUCUUCGGAUUGUAAAGCACUUUAAGUUGGGAGGAAGGGCAGUAAGCGAAUACCUUGCUGUUUUGACGUUACCGACAGAAUAAGCACCGGCUAACUCUGUGCCAGCAGCCGCGGUAAUACAGAGGGUGCAAGCGUUAAUCGGAUUUACUGGGCGUAAAGCGCGCGUAGGCGGCUAAUUGAGUCGGAUGUGAAAUCCCCGAGCUUAACUUGGGAAUUGCAUUCGAUACUGGUUAGCUAGAGUGUGGGAGAGGAUGGUAGAAUUCCAGGUGUAGCGGUGAAAUGCGUAGAGAUCUGGAGGAAUACCGAUGGCGAAGGCAGCCAUCUGGCCUAACACUGACGCUGAGGUACGAAAGCAUGGGGAGCAAACAGG
rnacentral:rRNA from 1 species